rnacentral:rRNA from 1 species
GUAGGUGGCAAGCGUUGUCCGGGAAUUAUUGGGGCGUAAAGCGCGCGCAGGCGGUUCUUUAAGUCUGAUGUGAAAGCCCACGGGCUCAACCGUGGGAGGGUCAUUGGAAACUGGAGAACUUGAGUACAGAAGAGGAAAGCGGAAUUCCACGUGUAGCGGUGAAAUGCGUAGAGAUGUGGAGGAACACCAGUGGCGAAGGCGGCUUUCUGGUCUGUAACUGACGCUGAGGCGCGAAAGCGUGGGGAGCAAACAGGAUGAGAUACCCUGGUAGUCCACGCCGUAAACGAUGAGUGCUAAGUGUUAGGGGGUUUCCGCCCCUUAGUGCUGCAGCUAACGCAUUAAGCACUCCGCCUGGGGAGUACGGCCGCAAAGGCUGA